rnacentral:misc_RNA from 1 species
GUAGGUGAACCUGCGGAAGGAUCAUUAACGAAUUGCGUUCGGGGUUGUUGCUGGUUUCUUUUUGAAGCAUGUGCACACCUCGCAAUCCAUUUUCAAACCACACAUGUGCACUUCAGAGGGAGACCUCUUCUGGUCUCUCCUCUUUUCAUUACAAACCACAAUAAAGUCUUUUGUAUUAUUGAUCGUAUGAUAAACUAAAAUACAACUUUCAACAACGGAUCUCUUGGCUCUCGCAUCGAUGAAGAACGCA